UCCAGAGCUUCACCUCCACAGCCAACAAAGAUGGGACCUGGGCUCCACCUCCUUGUCCUGGCAGCAGUGCUGGAAGGUGCCUGGUCCCAGGUGCAGCUGGUGGAGUCUGGAGGAGAUGUGAGGAAGCCUGGAGACUCUCUGCGCCUCUCCUGCAAAGCCUCUGGGUUCACCUUCAGUAGCUCCUACAUGGCCUGGGUCCGCCAGGCUCCUGGGAAGGGGCUGGAGUCCGUUGCUUAUAUUGGCACAUCCUCCUCUCCCAUAUACUACGCUGACAGUGUUAAGGGGCGAUUCACCGUCUCCAGAGAUGACUCCAGCAGCCUCCUGCACCUGCAGAUGAACAGCCUGAGAGCAGAGGACACAGCCCUGUAUUACUGUACCAGAGACACAGUGACUUAAACCGUAUUCAUGGCAAUACAAAAUCCCAGCUCAGAUCCUCCCUUCUCAGAUGCCAGGAGGGGGCAGCCACGCUGCACAGCACAGCCCUGCACAGAGGCAGGAGGGGAGACAGUGGACAGGGGAGAACAGACCCCAGUCUCUAGACUGUUUUCCACUCCAGGAGCCCUGACAAAAGCCACCCCCAGGCCCAACCCUGCAGACAUGGCUCCUGGCCACACGAAGCCCAGGCAGGUCCUUCUCAGUGCAUGUCCCAGGAGGACAGUAGGUCCAGUGGCAGCAGCAUCCUGGGCAGAGUGGGGUGUACCCAGCUCAGGACGUGGGGGGAGGAAGAGGUUUGAGAUGAACAAGCUUUGGCUCCAUCACCCACUGCUGCCCGGAGCUCCGCUCCACACAGCCGUUCACCCUCACUGCUGGCCACCCACCAAAAACACACACACCUGCUUCCCCAUUUUGCUGCUUACACAACUGGAAUCGUCACAGUGCCGGGCACUCUUCAAAGCACCCAGCACUGUAGCACUUGCAUGUGUCAAAAUGCCCAAAAAGUGUUAAGGGCUGUGAGAGUUCAUAGAAAUUACAUCCCCUGAAAGAGCUGCCCAGGUUAUCAUAGCUAGGGAGCAUCUC